GACCUACACUGCUAUGCACCUCAUUAAAAUCCUAUCCAUCAAAAUUUAUGCCAUUAACAAAAUCUAGGACUUGGGUGUCAAUGGCUAAAAAGCAGUUUCGCUAAGUCCUCAGUGGUGUUGCACCAAGAAUAUGGUGGAGUGCUUGAAUCCGUCAUCAGCGUCAACUAUCAAAGUUAGACACUGGUCACCAGUCAUGCACUGCCUCCCAUUCAGAACAUAGUGAGGAUAAGCAGGCCAGACACGAAGUCUGCGGCAGUGGCCAUGAGGGCGACGAUCGGGUGCCCAUGGUGCAGCGCCGAGCUACAGAACACUCCCACGACCUUGCCGCAUCCAGCGGAGAGGGAGCACCGGUAGCAGCUUGUAGGGAUAGACGUGCUCGUGGCCGGGGAUCACCCGGGAAAGCGUUGGUUGGAGGUGCCUGCCGCUUCAGUUGCUUAUAGGAAGGAAUGUACAUGACAAACUUGCUACCGCUGAAGAAUCAUAUGAAUCAACCUAUGUGUUUUCAAGACGUAUGAAACACACGAAAAGACUGAGCCUUCACGUGAAGUUUGCAGGUUUGCAUCAACAAGAGAGAAAUAAGAGGAAUUAGAUUAAUAAGAGUACUAAACAGGGUGGCGGCCGCCAAGGAGCGAAUUGAUCAUCUCACCUUGACGCAAUAGCUUGGUGCAAGUUGGUGGCACUUCUGUAGGUAGUAUUGACUGCGCCACCAAUGCCAAUCCCGUGAAAGCCAGCCUGAAUGAAAGGCACAAGAGGAAACCAGAGACACUAAAUAAGAACAGUCGUCCAUCUAAUGAAGACCUGACCAAACAAAAUCGAAUCUCUGUGUCAGCUUUCUUANNNNNNNNNNNNNNNNNNNNNNNNNNNNNNNNNNNNNNNNNNNNNNNNNNNNNNNNNNNNNNNNNNNNNNNNNNNNNNNNNNNNNNNNNNNNNNNNNNNNCAUGUCACGCCUGCCGGCCCAGAAGGGGAUUAACUUUCACCUGCUGUGGCAUGGCCCUGAACCGAUAGCAAGGAGAACUGAACGGGAGAGUGCCUCCCUGGAUCUUCGCAUCCCCAAGAACGGAUCGUCGUUUCCGUAAGCAGGAGCUCUGUGCUGGUGCCAAUCCAGUGCCACCGGACCGGUGAACCAACCACCACCGCACCUCCCUCUUCCUUUCUCCUCCCCCCCUUGUUAAUGUACAUCCCACCUUGUUAAUCGAAAUCAAAUAAAACUGAUCGCAGAUUGCUCUUCAGAAUUAGAUGCAAAGCCCAGCAUUCAUGUUUACAUAAGAAUAGUGCAGAAAUGCGGAUUAAUAAUUCCCCUAUACAUAUCAUGUCAUGCUAAAUAACUGUAUACAUAUGCAGAUAUUGACUUACGAAAUUCACCAACAAAUCAUGAUAUAGUCUUACAUUUAACAAAAUGGUAAAAGAUAGCAUCAAUCAUAGCUAAUAGCAAUAUAAUAAAUUCUUGUGAAUGAUAGUUUGGCUAUACAUGGAAACCUAAGAUCAGAUUAACUCGUGACGGAAGAAGGCGUUGUAGCAACAUAAUAAUUAAAAUCCAUCGGAAGAAUAUUUCUGAAAUUACACACUAUGCACAAGCAUAUGGAAAAAGGAUCACUAAACAUCAUGAUCUAGUAAAAGUACAUGAGAGAAAAAACUGAAAAAAUAACAGUCAAUUAUUUUAUAGAACUUCCCUUUGUUCUUCAAAACAAAUGGUAACAAUCAUGAUGCCAUAUUAGAGCUUAUUCAGGACAUCUUUUUUUACUAAAGGGAGUAGUAUGUUUCAGCAAAAGUGUCAAACUAUGUCUACACAUUUUACAUACAAUUAUCUCUGUCAUCUGGACCUACACUGCUCUGCACCUCAUUAAAAUCCUAUCCAUCAAAAUUUAUGCCAUUAACAAAAUCUAGGACUUGGGUGUUAAUGGCUAAAAAGCAGUUUCGCUAAGUCCUCAGUGGUGUUGCACCAAGAAUAUGGUGGAGUGCUUGAAUCCGUCAUCAGCGUCAACUAUCAAAGUUAGACACUGGUCACCAGUCAUGCACUGCCUCCCAUUCACAACAUAGUGAGGAUAAGCAGGCCAGACACGAAGUCUGCGGCAGUGGCCAUGAGGGCGAUGAUCGGGUGCCCAUGGUGCAGCGCCGAGCUACAGAACACUCCCACGACCUUGCCGCAUCCAGCGGAGAGGGAGCACCGGUAGCAGCUUGUAGGGAUAGACGUGCUCGUGGCCAGGGAUCACCCGGGAAAGCGUUGGUUGGAGGUUCCUGCCGCUUCAGUUGCUUAUAGGAAGGAAUGUACAUGACAAACUUGCUACCGCUGAAGAAUCAUAUGAAUCAACCUAUGUGUUUUCAAGACGUAUGAAACACACGAAAAGACUGAGCCUUCACAUGAAGUUUGCAGGUUUGCAUCAACAAGAGAGAAAUAAGAGGAAUUAGAUUAAUAAGAGUACUAAACAGGGUGGCGGCCGCCAAGGAGCGAAUUGAUCAUCUCACCUUGACGCAAUAGCUUGGUGCAGAUUGGUGGCACUUCUGUAGGUAGUAUUGACUGCGCCACCAAUGCCAAUCCCGUGAAAGCCAGCCUGAAUGAAAGGCACAAGAGGAAACCAGAGACACUAAAUAAGAAC
rnacentral:lncRNA from 1 species